rnacentral:sRNA from 1 species
ACUGCACCCGGCCAACAGGCAGCAUUUCUUGAGCACUUACUGUGCCCGGGUACGGUUCCAAGCACUUUGUCAACUUGUUUAAUCCUUAUGACAACCCAUCGUUCAGCCCUGUCGUGUGGAUCAGGAAACAGUCCAGAGUGGAGGAGGGAGGAGACUGCACAGGGGGUCGCUGGGGCUGGACCGCAGGAGUCUCCAUCCCGCUUCUGCAGGUGGAUAGUGACAAGGGCAUCUCCCUUCGCUUCCCUCGGUUUAUUCGAGUCCGUGAAGACAAACAGCCGGAGCAGGCCACCACCAGUGCCCAGGUGGCCUGUUUGUACCGGAAGCAAAGUCAGAUUCAGAACCAACAAGGCGAGGACUCAGGCUCUGACCCUGAAGAUACCUACUAAGCCCUCGCCCUCCUAGGGCCUGGGUACAGGGCAUGAGUUGGACGGACCCCAGGGUUAUUAUUGCCUUUGCUUUUUAGCAAAUCUUCUGUGGCAGGCUAUGGUUUUUGAAAGUCAGGGGAGGGGUGUGUGUGUGAGGGGGUGGCUUACUUCGGAGUCUGGGAUUCAUCCCAUCAUUUCUUUCAAUAAAUAAUUAUCGGAUAGCU